UGUCCAUAUCACCUGUUCUCACUCACUGUUCCGCAGGGUGUCCCUUCCCGAUCCGCUCGCCAUAUUCCGGAAUCUGCCCCGUGAUGUGUGGAGGUGAUGACGGACCUGGCUGCCCUGAAGGAACGUUGUGCUGCGGCACCAACUGUGGAGGAAGCAUGUGUGUGGCCCCGGUACAGCCACGUGAGUUGGACCAUCUUCAUCCUGACAGUAUGUGUUCUACUAAUUUGAAAUGAUCCACUUGAAAUGAUCAUCUUGGUAUUCAACUUAUACGUAGGGGUGUUGCUAAUAUUGAGGAGGAUGCCGUCUUAUGUAAACACUGUCAUGUAAUUGAGGAUGAACUUCAUGUUAUAUACAACUGUCCUCUUUAUGCAAGUCGGCGGGAAAUGUAUAUCCCAAAGACAGUUAAUCAUAAUUAUUUUUGUUUAGAAAGACUCUGUCAAGUAUCCGAAAACGAUGCAAUGAUAAAUUUUGCAAAAUUUCUAAUGUACGUGUUCUCAACACACACACACAAAAAAGUAUCAAUUAGGUAACUCUUAGAUAAAUAAAAUGUAAAUGUAUUUUGUACAAUGGGUCAAAUGGCCUUAUACAAAUAAAUCUGUCUGUCUGUC